CACGUAGGGUGCGAGCGUUGUCCGGAAUUAUUGGGCGUAAAGAGCUCGUAGGCGGUUUGUCGCGUCGGCCGUGAAAACUUGGGGCUUAACCCCAAGCCUGCGGUCGAUACGGGCAGACUUGAGUUCGGCAGGGGAGACUGGAAUUCCUGGUGUAGCGGUGAAAUGCGCAGAUAUCAGGAGGAACACCGGUGGCGAAGGCGGGUCUCUGGGCCGAUACUGACGCUGAGGAGCGAAAGCGUGGGGAGCGAACAGG
rnacentral:rRNA from 1 species